rnacentral:rRNA from 1 species
CCCUUAGAUGUUCUGGGCCGCACGCGCGCUACACUGAUGCAUUCAACGAGUUUCUUCCUGGUCCGAGAGGAAUGGGUAACCUUUUGAAAGUGCAUCGUGAUAGGGAUAGACUAUUGCAGUUAUUGGUCUUCAACGAGGAAUUCCUAGUAGACGUAGUUCAUCAGACUGCAUCGAUUACGUCCCUGCCCUUUGUACACACCGCCCGUCGCUCCUACCGAUUGAAUGCUCAGGUGAGCCAUUCGGACUUUCAUCAUGCUGGUUUCCAGUUUUGAUGAAGGAAAGUCUUGCGAACCUUAUCAUUUAGAGGAAGGAGAAGUCGUAACA